UUUAUAUAUUUAAUUAUAUAAUUAUUUAUAUAAUUAAUUAAUGUAUAAAAUUACGAAACAUGCGCGGUCUAGUGAUUAAUUCUGGAGAUCGUCUGCUCGAUGCAGAUGAUACUUCCGUUCUCCAGCAAAAAUUUGAACAAAUAGUUCGAAACUUUUUUUAUCGGUUUUAUCGAACUCUUUGCAAUAAUAAUUUAGUUAACGAGUAUUGUCAAUUCUAUCUCGGCCCGGUCGUUUUGAGACAGCAGGAGCUUUUCGCGCGAUUAUUCCAGUAUUUUCGAAGAAUAAGAAGAAGCACGGGGAGAUAAAAUUGCAAAUUGCAUUGCCAAAACUGUAUUGAUGAAAUCAUUUUCCGGUUCUACUGGACAGGGAAAGGCGAAGAAAAUGAAAAAUGAAAAGUUGUCGGAAGAGAAAUUCCUAAAACUCGCUGGGACAUUUCAGUCUGGUUAAAAUCCAUUCCUCCAGUCUCUCCCCCCCUCCCCUGCAAUACACGGCGUUUACAUUUACGUUUUAAGCUACUUGACGACUAGCAGACGUCUGCGAAAUAUCUGAGAAGGAAAGUUCGGGAAGAAAUUGAGAAAAAAAUUUGAAACUUUGUGGAAAAGUAGUUGACGCAAUGAUGAUAAUGUGACAAUUUGUUUUUCUUACUGAAAAAUCGUCCUAGAAGACGAAAACGCCCCUCCAAAGAAACGUCAGCUUCUCACGUUAUCGUGAAUAUUUGCCAAGUUUCGUAAAAUCUAGAAAGAGAAGUUAAGUUGUAAAAAUUUUAUUGUCUUUCAUGGUCUAUGCUGUGGUGGUGAAAAAUUCUCGUGUUCGAUGGCGAGAAAUUUUCAGAAGAGACCAUAGAAAACAAUAUAACGUUUAAUCUAUUUUAUUUUCUGCGUACCUCGAGGUAGAAUUUCUUGCAAGUGUUCGUGCGCAUGCGACACGCGCACAUUAAGCGCAUGCGCAAAAGACGCGUCCACGCCACACAAUGGCUCCCGCCUCGCUCAAAUGCAACAAUUUGAAAAUCGCGUACGUAUAUUUUACAUACAAUUUUAUAAGUGUUUAUAAUAAUACGAAAAGUCAAGAGAGAUAUUAUUAUUUACAAUCAUAUCAAAAGUCUUUGAAAGGGUGUGUUUCGCCUCUGAAAUUGCUUUUUGGUAGAAAGAAGAAAUUAUUACGUCACCAGCGUCACGUGACACUACGUUUUGUGCAUAGUUUCAUGUCUUUGAGCUGCCGAACUUCCCUUGCUACGAUGUUUCGAUGUUUCUAAAAGGAAAAAAAAAAAAAAAAGAACUGUUGUGUAAAUAAGAAAAAUCGGAGAGUGCAUAUCGCGAAAACGCUGCAGAGAAUCGUGGUGUGAGAGAGUGGGAGAGAAAGAGCUAAGAGCUAAAAAGAUAAGAGAGAAAUUAAAGACAAAAGAGAGUGAGUGUGUGAGAAAGAGAGAGAGAGAGAGGAAGUGACAGAAAAAGCAACCGGACGGAGAAAGAGAAUAAAACAGAUGUUUGUGUUUUGACGAAUGGCUCAAUCAUUUUAAACACGCGUUCUUCUAGACUCUAGAAUGCUCUCUCGCCGUUAGGAAGCUGCGAGACCGAAGAGCGGGAGCUUGUACCGGACGUUGCGGAUGAAUCCGUGGCAAGGAAUCGUCCACGAGUCGAAAAGUUUGCAAGAUGAAAGUGAAAAUGAAGAAAAAAAGCAGUUUACUAGAAAAUACCACGAAUGUCUAAAACUGUUCGGAAAUUAAUAAUCCUCCUUGGGUCGACUAGAAUUUCUGUUCUGUUUGCGAACAAAUCGCGAUUCAGAACUUACUGAUGGUUGCCUACGGAGGGUUUUUAAUUGUUCAGAAAUAUAUCAAUUAUUAUAAAAGUUUCAGGAUAAAGGGGAACACGGGUCUUCGUUAAUUCACGACAAACGGUUCUCGAUGUGAGAUCGAUUGAUGCAGUGACGAGCCUUCGAUUCCUCUCUCCUGCCCGGUUCCAAAGUUUGAAGGGCCUCCAAGCGAUCCCGAAGGAUUUUCACUAUUGCCUCAAAUUCACCGAAAGGUUUUUCAUUAACCCAGAUAUGUCCAAAUUUCCAUCACGAGGUAACGUUAUUAAAUUCGCGAGCUUAAACAUAUUAAAUUUAGUACUUGAGUUAAAUUGAGGUGUGUCAGUUGUUGUUAGUCGCGUUGUUGAUUCCUAAUUUAUUCCAUGCAGAAGGUGCGUUAAAUGCUGCCAAAAGACAGAGGCAAACGUAACGUUGCAGUUAGUUUCUCCAGGAAUAAUUGGGCAUAUCCGAGUUAAGUACCAAAUUAUUCUUAAUCUCUGAAGAGGAGAGAUUCCUCAGAGAUCUGUUCAGUUGGUCGCUGAUCAAAUCGUCUUAUUGAGGAACCGGAACCGUCUCACACGUGCAAAUUGAUCAUCACACAUCGUUGUAUCGCGGUGUGCGAAGAGAAACGCGAGGAAUAUUCGUGAAACAUAGAUCAAGAAGAAUCUACGGGAGAACGUUUGUAGAAACGACAAACGAAAGGAACGAUUGUCGUGCGUUAUUAGUACGAAAAUUUGAAAGAAAAAGAGAAAAAGGAAGGAGCUCCGCUCUGUGUUAAUUAUAACGAAAACUUUCUUUUUUUAGGCGCGAGAAAGGGGAGAAAAGGAAAACAAAAGCGAGAGAAAAAAGAAAUAGGAAAAAAUGGCGUAAAAAAAAGAAAAAAACUAAAAAGAGAGAAAUCCGUAGGAAAUAAAGCAAGAAGCUUCGUCGUGGACGGCUCUAAGCCUGUUAUUUUCUGAGAGACAGCAAAUUAUUUAUUCCUAAUAGAGUCUAUUCUUAUAAAUAUAUAUCUUUCGACUGAGUUCCGCGUCGACUUGCCGGAAGCAACCGUUCGUAUCCGUAAAUUCGUUCGCGUGUAAAACGAGUAAUAUAAUAAAAAUGAUGAACAAAUAAAAGGAGAAGAAAAAAAGUAACAAAAGAAGGAAAGAAAGAAAGAGAUCAACAUUUUUCGCUGUAUGUUUAUUCUCAAAGAAAUUAUACGGCUAUUAUUAUAUACAUAUAUAUAUAUAUAUAUAUAUAUAUACAUAUAUAUAUAAAGAAAAAUUACAAAAUUAUAUAUAUAUGUAUAGAAAGAGGAUAAAAAGAAUUAAAAAAAAGAAAAAAAUGAAAAAAGUGGUGGAGCGUUUUACGAGAAGAGCGUAUAUGCUAUAUACUUAUACGACAUUUCGAAGCACGUCUGUUUAAGGAAUUGUUACAGAAUGAAUUCAAUAAAAAAAAAAAAAAAAAAAAAAGAAAUAUUACCUUAAUACAAAUUUCAUUACGCUGGCGAUCUUUUAAGUAAGGGUGACAUUGUUAAACAAUUCAUUUCACUUCAUCUACUUUCAACUAACUACCUGUACCAAAUCAUUGUGUACUAAUCUAAUUUCAUUUAAUAUAUUGACUGUUAAGCCUUUGGA